AGCGAACGCUGGCGGCAGGCUUAACACAUGCAAGUCGAACGCCAUCUUCGGAUGGAGUGGCAGACGGGUGAGUAACGCGUGGGAACGUACCCUUUGGUUCGGAAUAUUCUCGGGAAACUGAGAGCAAUACCGGAUAAGCCCUACGGGGGAAAGAUUUAUCGCCAAAGGAGCGGCCCGCGUCAGAUUAGGUAGUUGGUGGGGUAAAGGCCUACCAAGCCUACGAUCUGUAGCUGGUCUGAGAGGAUGAUCAGCCACACUGGGACUGAGACACGGUCCAGACUCCUACGGGAGGCAGCAGUGGGGAAUUUUCCGCAAUGGGCGAAAGCCUGACGGAGCAAUACCGCGUGAGGGAAGAAUGCCUAUGGGUUGUAAAACCUCUUUUUUCAGGGAGGAAUAAAAUGACGUGUACCUGAAGAAUAAGCAUCGGCUAACUCCGUG
rnacentral:rRNA from 1 species